AUUGAACGCUGGCGGCAGGCCUAACACAUGCAAGUCGAGCGAGCGGCGGACGGGUGAGUAAUGUAUGGGGACUGCCCGCUAGAGGGGGAUAACUACUGGAAAAGGUGGCUAAUACCGCAUACUGUCGCAUAACCCAUAUGGGAUUAGCUAGUAGGUAAGGUAAUGGCUUCCCUGGGCGACGAUCCCUAGCGGGUCUGAGAGGAUGAUCAGCCACACUGGGACGGAGACACGGCCCAGACUCCUACGGAGGCAGCAGUGGGGAAUAUUGCACAAUGGGCGCAAGCCUGAUGCGGCCAUGCCGCGUGUAUGAAGAAGGCCCUAGGGUUGUAAAGUACUUUCAGUCGGGAGGCGUUACCGACAGAAGAAGCACCGGCUAACUCCGUGCCAGCCGCCGCGGUAAUAC
rnacentral:rRNA from 1 species